rnacentral:misc_RNA from 1 species
GUGGGAGGGGGCUUGCCCCCGAUGGCAGUAUGUCAGGCAGCGCAUUCAUAUCUGACCCGCCGCCAUCGGGGGCAAGCCCCCUCCCAC